rnacentral:rRNA from 1 species
UAGGGAAUCUUCGGCAAUGGGGGGAACCCUGACCGAGCAACGCCGCGUGAGUGAAGAAGGUUUUCGGAUCGUAAAGCUCUGUUGUUAAGGAAGAACGAGUGUGAGAAUGGAAAGUUCAUGCUGUGACGGUACUUAACCAGAAAGGGACGGCUAACUACGUGCCAGCAGCCGCGGUAAUCCGUAGGUCCCGAGCGUUGUCCGGAUUUAUUGGGCGUAAAGCGAGCGCAGGCGGUUAGAAAAGUCUGAAGUGAAAGGCAGUGGCUCAACCAUUGUAGGCUUUGGAAACUGUUUAACUUGAGUGCAGAAGGGGAGAGUGGAAUUCCAUGUGUAGCGGGGAAAUGCGUAGAUAUAUGGAGGAACACCGGUGGCGAGAGCGGCUCUCUGGUCUGUAACUAACGCUGAGGCUCGAAAGCGUGGGGAGCGAACAGG